CUAGCACACCGGAGUACACGAUCAGAAGUGAAGACGACAUGGACGCUUACCUUAGUCGUCUCAUGAAUGAUAAUGUCAACCCUGACAGCCUCUUUGACGAUGAGUAUUACCUGUUUGCUGGUGAAGGCUCAGAUGCUGAUGACAUGGAGCACGACGAAUUGGAAGACUCAUG